GGAGCGCGCGCCUGUGUGUGUGUGUGUGUGUGUGUGUGCGCUGGAUCAGAGCUCUGCAUAAAAUUCCGACGUCAUGAAUCCUCUGGCUGCACUGCCUCUUGCAUAUGGGCAUAUGCGGAAAUGCUUUUUGUGAAAAUUGAUGUGUUCUUUCAGUAUAAAGGCUGUAACUCCAGCUCUUGGUUCAGGACAGCUCAUUCUCUGCUUUUAUGAACACAUCACAGGGGAACACCUACAAUUCAGCGGCAGAUACUGACUCCCCCACUCCCAUGCUGAAACAAUGCCGUGCUGACCUAUAACUUGUGGGUCCCUCCACUUGAUGAAUUGUGUCAUCCUGGUCCACAGAAGUGCUGACCCGAACACAAGCCGCUCUCAAUGAUUUCCUGUAGUUGGCAGAACACAGUGAGUGAUGAAUGAACAUCUCUGAUCCAUCAAUCGCAGGGUCUGAAGUCGCUCUGUUCAAAGAAGUGUAAUUUCACUUCAACAUGUUUGGCUGAGAUCCGCUUUGGUAA